rnacentral:SRP_RNA from 1 species
GCGGCGGGACCGGGAGGGGAGCCACCCCUUGCAACCCUUGCGGCGCCGAAGCCGAAGCCGAAGCUGGUGAUAGUCAAGACGGCAGGCGUCCUGCGUCGCCUCUUGGACCUUUGCACCCUCGCCCCGC